rnacentral:tRNA from 1 species
GCAUUGGUGGUUCAGUGAUAGCAUUCUUGUCUUCCACGCAGGAGAUCCAGGUUCAAUUCUGGGUCAGUGCA